AUGUUGAUGCAACUCGGGUGGAGCUUCGGGGAGUUAAGCCAGGGCAAACACAAAGUUGAAGGAAAAGCAGUAAGCCUUUAGGACGAUGCAAGCAUAUGGAUGAUGAUCAAGUCAUUGCUAUCAAACCGAACACACUCAAGAUCUUGUUCCGCUACUUUUGUUUAUACUUGUAGUUGAUAAAACUAAUGUAAUUAAAGGAAUAUUAUGUAUCCUAAUGUUGUUUUUGAACGUUUGUUAAACUAGUAAUUACUAAACUAAUGAUAAUGUAAAUGUUUGGGCUUAACGUUUAUAAAGAUUAGUUCUAUUUUGUUGU
rnacentral:lncRNA from 1 species